CCAGCUUUGUGGAAACACAACUCAUGGUGACAAUUGGCAUGUGAUUUUUACAUUUCAGGCCCCAUUGACAUUUGGGGACUUGGCCAUCUACUUCUCCCAGGAGGAGUGGGAAGGGCUGAGCCCCAGUCAGAAGGACUUGUAUGAAGAGGUCAUGUUGGAGAACUAUCGCAACCUGGUCUUCCUGGGUCUCUCCUGUCGGAGGCCAAAUGUCAUCAUCUUGUUGGAGAAGGGGAAAGCACCCUGGGUGGUGGAGCCAUCGAAAAGACAGCACGGCCCAGAUUCAGGGUCUAAGUGUGAGCCUAAGAAGUUACCUUCAAGUCAGUGCAACAAGUCUGGACUAAGCGUCAAUCAAAAAUCAGUUUCUGCACAACCAAGAGUUCCUACAGGAAAGAGAAACCGCAACAAAAAUUUAGUCUUCAUAAAUCCUAAGAAAGAGCAGGCAGC